GGUUGUUCAGUGGCAGAGCACUUGCCUAGCAUGUGUGAGGCCCUGGGUUCAAUCCCCAGUACCA
rnacentral:tRNA from 1 species